CCUACGGGCGGCAGCAGUGGGGAAUUUUGCGCAAUGCUCGUAAGAGUGACGCAGCGACGCCGCGUGAAUGACGAAGGCCUUCGGGUCGUAAAGUUCUUUCGACAGGGAAGAAAAUGCCUAUAAGUAACUGUGUAUGUAUUGACGGUACCUGUAUAAGCAGCCCCGGCUAACUCCGUGCCAGCAGCCGCGGUAAUACGGAGGGGGCGAGCGUUGUUCGGAGGGACUGGGCGUAAAGAGCACGUAGGCGGUGUUGUAAGUCAUUAGUCAAAGACUAGAGCUCAACUUUAGUAAGGCUAGUGAUACUAUAAUACUAGAGUAUCAGAGAGGAUUGCAGAAUGCCUGGUGUAGCGGUGAAAUGCGUAGAUAUCAGGAGGAAUACCGUUAGCGAAGGCGGCAAUCUGGCUGGAAACUGACGCUGAGGUGCGAAAGCGUGGGUAGCAAACAGGAUUAGAUACCCUUGUAGUC
rnacentral:rRNA from 1 species